GAUUAAGUUAUUAAGGGCGCACGGUGGAUGCCUUGGCACUAGAAGCCGAUGAAGGACGUUACUAACGACGAUAUGCUUUGGGGAGCUGUAAGUAAGCUUUGAUCCAGAGAUUUCCGAAUGGGGAAACCCAGCAUGAGUUAUGUCAUGUUAUCGAUAUGUGAAUACAUAGCAUAUCAGAAGGCACACCCGGAGAACUGAAACAUCUUAGUACCCGGAGGAAGAGAAAGAAAAUUCGAUUCCCUUAGUAGCGGCGAGCGAAACGGGAAGAGCUCAAACCAACAAGCUUGCUUGUUGGGGUUGUAGGACACUCUAUACGGAGUUACAAAGGACGACAUUAGACGAAUCAUCUGGAAAGAUGAAUCAAAGAAGGUAAUAAUCCUGUAGUCGAAAAUGUUGUCUCUCUUGAGUGGAUCCUGAGUACGACGGAGCACGUGAAAUUCCGUCGGAAUCUGGGAGGACCAUCUCCUAAGGCUAAAUACUCUCUAGUGACGAUAGUGAACCAGUACCGUGAGGGAAAGGUGAAAAGCACCCCGGAAGGGGAGUGAAAUAGAACCUGAAACCGUGUGCUUACAAGUAGUCAGAGCCCGUUAAUGGGUGAUGGCGUGCCUUUUGUAGAAUGAACCGGCGAGUUACGAUUUGAUGCAAGGUUAAGCAGUAAAUGUGGAGCCGUAGCGAAAGCGAGUCUGAAUAGGGCGUUUAGUAUUUGGUCGUAGACCCGAAACCAGGUGAUCUACCCUUGGUCAGGUUGAAGUUCAGGUAACACUGAAUGGAGGACCGAACCGACUUACGUUGAAAAGUGAGCGGAUGAACUGAGGGUAGCGGAGAAAUUCCAAUCGAACCUGGAGAUAGCUGGUUCUCUCCGAAAUAGCUUUAGGGCUAGCCUCAAGUGAUGAUUAUUGGAGGUAGAGCACUGUUUGGACGAGGGGCCCCUCUCGGGUUACCGAAUUCAGACAAACUCCGAAUGCCAAUUAAUUUAACUUGGGAGUCAGAACAUGGGUGAUAAGGUCCGUGUUCGAAAGGGAAACAGCCCAGACCACCAGCUAAGGUCCCAAAAUAUAUGUUAAGUGGAAAAGGAUGUGGCGUUGCCCAGACAACUAGGAUGUUGGCUUAGAAGCAGCCAUCAUUUAAAGAGUGCGUAAUAGCUCACUAGUCGAGUGACACUGCGCCGAAAAUGUACCGGGGCUAAACAUGUUACCGAAGCUGUGGAUUGUCCUUUGGACAAUGGUAGGAGAGCGUUCUAAGGGUGUUGAAGCAUGAUCGUAAGGACAUGUGGAGCGCUUAGAAGUGAGAAUGCCGGUGUGAGUAGCGAAAGACGGGUGAGAAUCCCGUCCACCGAUUGACUAAGGUUUCCAGAGGAAGGCUCGUCCGCUCUGGGUUAGUCGGGUCCUAAGCUGAGGCCGACAGGCGUAGGCGAUGGAUAACAGGUUGAUAUUCCCGUACCACCUAUAAUCGUUUUAAUCGAUGGGGGACGCAGUAGGAUAGGCGAAGCGUGCGAUUGGAUUGCACGUCUAAGCAGUAAGGCUGAGUAUUAGGCAAAUCCGGUACUCGUUAAGGCUGAGCUGUGAUGGGGAGAAGACAUUGUGUCUUCGAGUCGUUGAUUUCACACUGCCGAGAAAAGCCUCUAGAUAGAAAAUAGGUGCCCGUACCGCAAACCGACACAGGUAGUCAAGAUGAGAAUUCUAAGGUGAGCGAGCGAACUCUCGUUAAGGAACUCGGCAAAAUGACCCCGUAACUUCGGGAGAAGGGGUGCUCUUUAGGGUUAACGCCCAGAAGAGCCGCAGUGAAUAGGCCCAAGCGACUGUUUAUCAAAAACACAGGUCUCUGCUAAACCGUAAGGUGAUGUAUAGGGGCUGACGCCUGCCCGGUGCUGGAAGGUUAAGAGGAGUGGUUAGCUUCUGCGAAGCUACGAAUCGAAGCCCCAGUAAACGGCGGCCGUAACUAUAACGGUCCUAAGGUAGCGAAAUUCCUUGUCGGGUAAGUUCCGACCCGCACGAAAGGCGUAACGAUUUGGGCACUGUCUCAACGAGAGACUCGGUGAAAUCAUAGUACCUGUGAAGAUGCAGGUUACCCGCGACAGGACGGAAAGACCCCGUGGAGCUUUACUGUAGCCUGAUAUUGAAAUUCGGCACAGCUUGUACAGGAUAGGUAGGAGCCUUUGAAACGUGAGCGCUAGCUUACGUGGAGGCGCUGGUGGGAUACUACCCUAGCUGUGUUGGCUUUCUAACCCGCACCACUUAUCGUGGUGGGAGACAGUGUCAGGCGGGCAGUUUGACUGGGGCGGUCGCCUCCUAAAAGGUAACGGAGGCGCUCAAAGGUUCCCUCAGAAUGGUUGGAAAUCAUUCAUAGAGUGUAAAGGCAUAAGGGAGCUUGACUGCGAGACCUACAAGUCGAGCAGGGUCGAAAGACGGACUUAGUGAUCCGGUGGUUCCGCAUGGAAGGGCCAUCGCUCAACGGAUAAAAGCUACCCCGGGGAUAACAGGCUUAUCUCCCCCAAGAGUUCGACAUCGACGGGGAGGUUUGGCACCUCGAUGUCGGCUCAUCGCAUCCUGGGGCUGUAGUCGGUCCCAAGGGUUGGGCUGUUCGACCCAUUAAAGCGGUACGCGAGCUGGGUUCAGAACGUCGUGAGACAGUUCGGUCCCUAUCCGUCGUGGGCGUAGGAAAUUUGAGAGGAGCUGUCCUUAGUACGAGAGGACCGGGAUGGACAUACCUCUGGUGUACCAGUUGUCGUGCCAACGGCAUAGCUGGGUAGCUAUGUGUGGACGGGAUAAGUGCUGAAAGCAUCUAAGCAUGAAGCCCCCCUCAAGAUGAGAUUUCCCAACUUCGGUUAUAAGAUCCCUCAAAGAUGAUGAGGUUAAUAGGUUCGAGGUGGAAGCAUGGUGACAUGUGGAGCUGACGAAUACUAAUCGAUCGAAGACUUAAUCAA
rnacentral:rRNA from 1 species